ensembl:snRNA U6 U6 spliceosomal RNA
GUGCUUGCUUCGGCGGCACACAUACUACAAUUGGACCAAUACCGAGAUUAGCAUGGCCCCUGUGCAAGGAUGACAUGCAAAUUCGUGAAGCAUUCCAUAUAUAU